rnacentral:lncRNA from 1 species
AGGAAAUAAGAACGAAAGGGUGGCAGAGUUCAUGGACAGUAACUCUCCCUUUGAGCUGGAGACCUCUCUCCAGACUUGUUUAUUAUAGUUUUGUACUGAUUCAACUGCAGGUUUAGCAGCAAAAUGAAAAGCUGUCUUGUUUAAAGGAAGAUGUAACUCAUUUUGUGAACAAGAACUGCAAACAGCUGCUUCCAUAUGUUGCUACUAUCUGGAUAAAUUCUUUGUUAAAUGGCAUCUUUAAGAUUAAACUCUGUGCUGAAAAUAAACACAACAAAAGUGUGAGAUGAUUGAGGAGAACAGUGACCCACUCCAGGAGAAAAUACACUUUGUUUCAGCUGAUGAUGAAUCUGUAUGACCCAGACAGCACGUUCUAAUUUUGACUAUCAUUGCAUUCUGCACUAUUUUGACAUAUAAUAUAAAUGUCUGUGAUAAGGGGUAAAAGGCACUUUGGCCCAUCUGUGCUAGUUCUAAACCUGUUUGUCCUACUUUACUUUGGGAUGAUCUAGCCUUUUUUUUUUUUUUUUUUUUUUUUUUUUUUUAAAUUGAAUUUUUAACAUAGUUUGGACCUACUUCUUUGUUCUGCAGUAUCUCUGUUAGAAAAUGUUUUAAGUACAACCCUCUGUUAGCCAGAUUGAAACACGGUUUGGAAAAGUGUCGGGGUGUUCUCUUUGAAGUUGAAGGGAGAUGCAUCUGCCUUGAAUGAGAUCAAGAUCAAAUCACCUGAGCAAAUGGCUAACUAUUUAAAUAGUCCCUUGGAAGUUCAGUGUGGUUUGAAGCCUUCUGUAGAGGAGAAAGACUUCAUGCUUCAGUUUCAGCAAUGAAGCACUGUCCCUUCGUAACAUUAAUUGAAGAAGGUGUGGGAAGGCAAUGGAAGAGGAGCCCAGAAAACAAUUUGUUUAUUAUAAGCAGGUCAGUCCUCCGGGGAAUUCAUGGAAUCAUGCAGUGGGAGAGGACAAUCACGGCACUGAAAUGGGUUGUUUUUGAAAGUGAUGUUCCUGGUAAAGGAAUGAGGCAAGGGUCUGGAGGAUCUGACAUUAAGAAACAUGGCAGUGACCAAUAGAAAGAAGAAAGUACAACUGCUCAUGGGUCUUUCAAUCUUCUCAUUGAUAGAUCUUAUGAAAAAUUGCCUAAGAAUUUAUCUUCCCUCCCAACAAAAUAUAAUAGUAUUUAUUGCAAUAAAAAAUAAAAUGCCAAGAACA